GUCCAUAUCAGAUCGAAACAUCGGUUCCCGUACGAUUGCCGAAGUUAAGCAACGUCGAGCCUGGUCUGUAUCUAGACGGAUGACCGCUUGGGAAUACCAGUUGCUGUAAA